UCGGUGCUCCUGCGUCGGGUCUGCGCCGAGUCUGCGCCGGGCCGCGCCGAGCGCGAGGGAGGAGGCGCUGCCAGCCCGCAAACCGCAAGCCGCGGGAGACGCCGGGGCUCCCCGCUAAUCCUUCCGGCUUCCUCGAGCGCCGCGCACUCGGGUUCCGGCGCAGCGCGGGUCCGGCCCCGGGUGUGCCCCGGCGCGCGGCCGCGGCGGCCGGUGAGUGGAGCGCGCGGGGCGCCGGGCCGGGCCUGGCCGGGUGGGCCUGCAGGCCCUGGGAAGCGGUCCUGCGGUGUCUGGCCGCAACCGCGGGCGGGGCGGCGGGGACGCGGGCUGCGCCUGCUGGGGGCCCAGUCCAGUCCCGGGGCUGCGCUGGGGGCGGGCGGUGGUCUCCGGGGGUGGACGCCUGCUACCUGUCCCCUCUCCCCUGCAGCCAGGCGCUGGAUGGCUUCUGUACCCGGCUGUGCCCGUCCCCGCUCCCAGAGCUUGUGCCUGGACUGAGUCCUUUUAUCCUCGCAGUCACCCCAUGGCGUGCACCGUUAUUAUCCCGUGUUGCCGACGGGGAAACUGAGGCACACCGAGAUGAGGCCCCUUCCAGGAAGCUACACAGCUUCAUUAACAGAAGCCUUGUGAGAAAAAGACAAGCAAGUACUAGUUAUGCCGUUUUACGGUGUGGGACCAGGCUUUCAGAAAGGAAUCCCAGCAUGUGA
rnacentral:lncRNA from 1 species